rnacentral:tRNA from 1 species
GCCUGGCUGGCUCAGUGGGUACAGCAUGAGACUCUUGAUCUUGGGGUCAUGAGUUCAGACCCCACGUUAGGCA